AUGCAACCAUGGAACAACACCGGCCUCAAGGUCGAGGACCAGGUUCGUAGGCAUUUCAGAUCCACGGUCCAUUUCUCCCCGACCUCUUCCUCCAAGGAAUUUUUCUUGGUGGUCACGUUCUCUUCUGCAUCCUUCCCAUUGUCUUGUGCUUCGAUUGGUUUGGCCCUACAAUGUUGCAUUGGAGGAAUUGCUUCUGGUUUGAAGGUUACAUCUAUUGGAGUAAGGAAUUUUCGGUUCUCGGUGGCUUCAAAUAAAGUUGGUCAUUUCAUCUAUGCCCUACGGGAUAGAGUUUGGCCGGAUUUUGUGUGUCAUUUUGGUCUACUUAAACAUCCUUGGAAUGUGCCAAUUGUUGAUCCAGUUAUGAGAAACACUCCAAAUCUUGGAGGUAGUGCCUCUAAGGCCGUCCACACCAGUUUGCAUUUUCUUGAGAAAAGCGCUUCGAAGGAUGCUUCAGCCUCGAAGGAGUUGGCCAAGUUUGGUUUUUGCAUGCAACGCUCUAACAAUCUACUGAGCUCCUUCGAUGAGGUUUCUUCUCAACGUGGAAAUCCUCAGGAUAUUCAUCGUGACUUGGUUGAUUCUUCGCGAAACAAUACAAAUUUUGAACUACUGCAAGGGGGGUCUGAUUUUUGGCAGUCUGCAUAUUCCGGUUUCUUCGGGUCGAAUUGCAAACACUUCCAAAAAAUUCUUAGGUAA
rnacentral:rRNA from 1 species